rnacentral:rRNA from 1 species
GAUGAACGCUGGCGGCGCGCCUAACACAUGCAAGUCGAACGAUUAAAGCACCUUCGGGUGUGUAUAAAGUGGCGAACGGCUGAGUAACACGUGGGCAACCUGCCCCUUUCAUUGGGAUAGCCACGGGAAACCGUGGAUAAUACCGAAUACUUCGAGACUUCCGCAUGGAAGACUCGCGAAAGCCCCGGCGGAGAGGGAUGGGCCCGCGGCCUGUUAGCUUGUUGGUGGAGUAACGGCCUACCAAGGCAAUGAUGGGUAGCUGGGUUGAGAGACCGACCAGCCAGAUUGGGACUGAGACACGGCCCAGACUCCUACGGGAGGCAGCAGUGGGGAAUCUUGCACAAUGGGCGAAAGCCUGAUGCAGCGACGCCGCGUGCGGGAUGAAGGCCUUCGGGUUGUAAACCGCUUUCAGCAGGGACGAGGCGAAAGUGACGGUACCUGCAGAAGAAGCCCCGGCUAACUACGUG